UACGUAGGGUGCAAGCGUUAUCCGGAAUUAUUGGGCGUAAAGAGCUUGUAGGCGGUUUGUCGCGUCUGCUGUGAAAAUCCGGGGCUCAACCCCGGACUUGCAGUGGGUACGGGCAGACUGGAGUGUGGUAGGGGAGACUGGAAUUCCUGGUGUAGCGGUGGAAUGCGCAGAUAUCAGGAGGAACACCAAUAGCGAAGGCAGCUCGCUGGGACGGUACUGACGCUAAGGCGCGAAAGCGUGGGGAGCAAACAGG
rnacentral:rRNA from 1 species